UACGGGGGAGCAAGCGUUGUUCGGAUUUACUGGGCGUAAAGGGCGGGUAGGCGGCCACCGCAAGUCAGUUGUGAAAUCUCCGGGCUUAACCCGGAAAGGUCAACUGAUACUGCGGGGCUAGAGUGCAGAAGGGGCAACUGGAAUUCUCGGUGGUAGCGGUGAAAUGCGUAGAUAUCGAGAGGAACACCUGCGGCGAAGGCGGGUGCUGGGCUGACACUGACGCUGAACUGCGAAAGCUAGGGGAGCGAACGGG
rnacentral:rRNA from 1 species